UUUCCUGUAGUGUAACUAACACACCAAUUUUUCGUGUUGGAAAUGGGUAUUUCUCUAGGGGCU
rnacentral:tRNA from 1 species